UGGAGACAUCACGAAAAUAUGUGUUACAGAACGACACCCAGAAUUUUGUCCGAUACCGUUAAACAUUUAGAAGGUGAUAAUGAAGAAAGUACGUGGAAAAAUGAGAGACACUUGGCAUAGAGGACCCGUAUUUAAUGCCAAAGUCGAUGUUUUCGCCGAUAAGAAAGUGGACUGUUAACCCGCUUCCGCUUGUCUUGGACAACUGGAUCUACACAUGGAUCUGGCUUAAAGAGAGGUCACCAGAGGAAGGGUGGCAGUUCCCUGGUUGCCACGGCGAUGGAGAAGGGGUUGAGGGGUCUUAAGAUGGCAUUGGCAGAUGAAGUCGGACUCGGGCGUCACAACUUUAAAAAAAGCCCUCGGAGGACAGUGAAGGCCAUGGCGCCCAGGAGGAGAAGCAUCAGCAUUAGAUCCAUCGGUCGCCAGAUGAGCUUCAUGCUCUGAGCGUGCUGAGCCUACGGAGGGAUGCAAACCGGCACCCACUCACUACUGGUGACAGUUCUCAGCGCCCGUCAUUUCACCUCACUGACGUUAUAUCCACCAAUCAGCGGCCUGUCUUUGGGCCGAGUGAACAGUGUGACCGCUGCCCACGCAGGCAUCAGCAGGAAGAGGAAGUUGAGCCAGAAGGCCGGACGGAUCUCGGCGCCGUAU